GAUGAAGAACGUAGCGAAAUGCGAUAAGUAAUGUGAAUUGCAGAAUUCAGUGAAUCAUCGAAUCUUUGAACGCACAUUGCGCCCGCCAGUAUUCUGGCGGGCAUGCCUGUUCGAGCGUCAUUUCAACCAUCAAGCCCCAGGCUUGUGUUGGAGCCCUGCGGCUGCCGCAGCCUCCCAAAACCAGUGGCGGGCUCGCUAUCACACCGAGUGCAGUAGUUUACUCUUCGCUCAGGGCGUGUGGCGGGUGCUAGCCGUGAAACCCCCAACUUCACAAGGUUGACCUCGGAUCAGGUAGGAAGAACCGCUGAACUUAAGCAUAUCAAUAAGCGGAGGA
rnacentral:misc_RNA from 1 species